rnacentral:rRNA from 1 species
GAUGAACGCUGGCGGCGUGCCUAAUACAUGCAAGUCGAGCGAACGGACGAGAAGCUUGCUUUUCUGAUGUUAGCGGCGGACGGGUGAGUAACACGUGGAUAACCUACCUAUAAGACUGGGAUAACUUCGGGAAACCGGAGCUAAUACCGGAUAAUAUUUUGAACCGCAUGGUUCAAUAGUGAAAGACGGUCUUGCUGUCACUUAUAGAUGGAUCCGCGCUGCAUUAGCUAGUUGGUAAGGUAACGGCUUACCAAGGCAACGAUGCAUAGCCGACCUGAGAGGGUGAUCGGCCACACUGGAACUGAGACACGGUCCAGACUCCUACGGGAGGCAGCAGUAGGGAAUCUUCCGCAAUGGGCGAAAGCCUGACGGAGCAACGCCGCGUGAGUGAUGAAGGUCUUCGGAUCGUAAAACUCUGUUAUUAGGGAAGAACAUAUGUGUAAGUAGCUGUGCACAUCUUGACGGUACCUAAUCAGAAAGCCACGGCUAACUACGUG